CAGCACUUUGGGAGGCCGAGAUGGGUGGAUCACCUGAGGCUGGGAGUUCAAGACCAGCCUGACCAACAUGGAGAAACCCCAUCUCUACUAAAAAUACAAAAUUAGCUGGGCGUGGUGGCUCAUGCCUGUAAUCCCAGCUACUCAGGAGGCUGAGGCAGGAGAACUGCUUGAACCUGAGAGGCGGAGGUUGUAGUGAGCUGGGAUUGCUCCAUUGCACUCCAGCCUGGGCAACAAGAGCGAACCUCCGUCUCAAAAAAUAAAUAAAUAAAUAAAAUAAAUACAUAAAAUAAAUAAAUACAUAAAUAAAAUAGAUAUGUAUUUAUGCAAACCAUAGAAAAAUGUUUGGCAACCAUCGCAAGAUACCUGACAAUGUGAAAUAGUUUUAUUACAACUGGCCUGACCUUCAAAGGCCUUCACAGCUCCUGCCUUCAUGUUACCGUCUACUAUGUUCCUCGUGCACCUUCCACUCAGCACAAACAGGCUGCACUGCCUCCGAAACACAUCACUGGAACCCUGCCUCUGCUCCUUUGUCCAUCUGAAUCACCCUCUCCACAUUUCUGACCCUGUAAUCCUGAUCUCACUUCAUGAGGCAGUUCGCUUCUCUUUUGCAUUUAGCUUUCCCCGGGGUACACUGUCAAUAGCCUACUGUCUGAUGUCAUCAGUCAGCACUUCAUCAGAGGCAAUUAUGUCCACAGAGCUUUUGGCUAAUUACUGUCACUCCUCUUUACAUGUGUGCAUAUGCAUAUCAUCUUUCCCUAAUGAGACUGGAAAUCAUGAUUCAUUCCCUGGAGCAGUGGUUUCCAUAAGUGACCAACCCACAGACCAGUGCAAACUGGCUGCAAAAGAGCUUCCUCUGAGGAACUUAUUAGAAUGCAGAUUCUUUGACUGCAUGGGAGAGGAGGAUCUCAUAAAUCUGGGUGUAAUAGGCACAGAACGUUAGGUGUAAUAUGGGCGGGACUCUGGACUCAGCAUAUCCAACAAGCUGCUGGCUGAUUCCGAUGAUGCCGAUGAAUUGCCAGGUUGGGAACUGCUGCCCCCAGAGAACCUAGCAGAGAGCUCUGUACGUGGUAGGUGCUCACUCCCCUAUUGUUUGGGUGUAUGCCUCCUGAUAAUGAACUUGAUCGUAACAUUAUUGUUGCAUUAUGCCUGUAUUGUUUCCUUAGGUGAAGGAAGAAUGCUUUUGAGUACCUAAUAGGUGGCAAGCUCUGUGCCUACUUACAUACAUGAACUAUUCCUUUUAAUAACCUUUGGAAAUAAAGUGGCAUUUCCAUUGGGCAUUAGAAAUCUGAAGACUUUCGUUUACAGCUGUUGCAACAGCAGAACUAGAAUUCGACCUCCGACAUUUCUGCUCACCAGAGGGCAUGAACUGCUGGUUUGUACCUGGCUUGCAGAUACCUUCUUUGGGCAGCACAAUGUUCAAAAUUAAAAAAACUACCAACACUUCUAAACUGGAUACUUUGUAUCAAUAUCUGGGUUUCUGGCU